ACAUGGUGUCGCCCCUCAUGGCCCUCCACAGCUUGUCCUGGAUGCUGCUUUUCUGCCUGAUGCUCCUAUCUCAGGUCCAAGGAGAGGACUCCCAAAAGGAUCUCCCCUCUUUGUGCAUAAGCUGUCCCAAAGUCUCCCAGGAUGCCUCCCACUGCUAUGCCUUGUUUAAGACUCCAAAAUCCUGGAUGGAUGCAGAUGUGAGUGUUGAGGGAGGAGUUGGCCUGCCAGAAGCGGCCCUCAGGACACCUAGUGUCCUUGCUCAGUGG